UUUGCCACGGGGCGCUGUAAAUAAAACCACUUUCAUAUAACUGAAUAAACGAUCAUUCACACCAGUUCAAGCUUCCCGUAUAUUAUCAAGCAUUCUACGGGGCACUGGUUUAAUCAUUUCACACAGUUCAAGCCUUCCCAUGACAUAUUUAUCACGGGGCGCUGUAGAUAAAACCACUUUCAUAUAACUGAAUAAACGAGCAGUCACACCAGUUCAAGCUUCCCGUAUUAUCAAGCAUUCUACGGGGCACUGGUUUAAUCAUUUCACACAGCUCAAGCCUUCCCACGACAUAUUUAUCACGCGGCGCUGUAGAUAAAACCACUUUCAUAACUGAAUAAACGAUCAGUCACACCAGUUCAAGCUUCCCGUAUUAUCAAGCAUUCCACGGGGCACUGGUUUAAUCAUU